AACGGGCAUCUACAGCGAGCGGGUUAUUUGGUGAGUGGAUGGGAUGUUGUCUAGAGGGAUGUUGUGAUUAUGUGGUUAGGAGUGAUUUUAGUUGCAUCUGAUAGUCACAGUGAGCAUUUCCAUGACGACUCUGCACCACGUCUUCUAUCAGAUGUGAAUUCAUAGUUAGAGAUCCAAAUUUCCAAAAGCAAGAACAUUUUCAGGCAGCUAAACUCAAUAGAUUUUCAGUCAUGGAUUCCACACUCGUAAUUGAACAAGGGCCCCAGCGCGUAAUUGAGCAAGGUGUUAUUGUUAUUGAGCCUGGCAAGCUCAAGGUCGACUGGCACAUUCCAAUCUUGGCGCAGAUCUCGUCGUCAUCGAGCACAGCUUCCAGAUUUGCCAACACCUGUGGCCCAUACUCCACCACCAGCAGCUUGCACUGCACAGAAACAUGUCACACUCGCCUCCUUUAAAAACCAGCUCGAAUUGCCAUUACCUCAUCCUCAUGGUUGUGCAAUUUCUGGCAGUUGGCCAGCAGGAAUUCAAUCAGCUUCUCCUGGUUGGUGAUCGAUCAAAGCACAAAAGCAUUCAAGACGAUAGCUUGGAAACGGUUUUCUUCUCGUCUCAUGAACAGUGUUUUUGGAUGUUUCAAGGAGAAAGGUGGCUUCAAGGAAU
rnacentral:lncRNA from 1 species